GGGGUUGUGGCUCAGAGGUAGAGUGCUCAUCUCGCACAUGGGAGAACCUGGGUUCAAUCCUCAGCACCACA
rnacentral:tRNA from 1 species